rnacentral:ncRNA from 2 species
UACAUUCUUCGGGGCAGGGUGGAAUUCCCUACCGGCGGUGAUGAAGCUAAAAUCUUGCUUCUUAGUCCGUGACCCGUUAACAAUUGUUAACGGUGGAUCUAGUGAAACUCUAGAGCCGACAGUUAAAGUCUGGAUGGGAGAAGAAUUGC